rnacentral:rRNA from 1 species
GUUUUCGGACCUAGAGACCGGCGCACGGGUGCGUAACGCGUAUGCAAUCUACCUUUCACAGAGGGAUAGCCCAGAGAAAUUUGGAUUAAUACCUCAUAGUAUUAUAGAAUGGCAUCAUUUUAUAAUUAAAGUCACAACGGUGAAAGAUGAGCAUGCGUCCCAUUAGCUUGUUGGUAAGGUAACGGCUUACCAAGGCUACGAUGGGUAGGGGUCCUGAGAGGGAGAUCCCCCACACUGGUACUGAGACACGGACCAGACUCCUACGGGAGGCAGCAGUGAGGAAUAUUGGUCAAUGGACGCAAGCCUGAACCAGCCAUGCCGCGUGCAGGAUGACGGUCCUAUGGAUUGUAAACUGCUUUUGCACAGGAAGAAACAACAUUACGUGUAAUGUCUUGACGGUACUGUGAGAAUAAGGAUCGGCUAACUCCGUGCCAGCAGCCGCGGUAAUACGGAGGAUCCAAGCGUUAUCCGGAAUCAUUGGGUUUAAAGGGUCCGUAGGCGGUUUAGUAAGUCAGUGGUGAAAGCCCAUCGCUCAACGGUGGAACGGCCAUUGAUACUGCUAGACUUGAAUUAUUAGGAAGUAACUAGAAUAUGUAGUGUAGCGGUGAAAUGCUUACAGAUUA